rnacentral:lncRNA from 1 species
AAAGAGCUUGCACGGUAAGGCUGACCCUAAUGCUUUACUUGGAGCCUUUCUGUCACCAAGGGAACAAACCUGCUCUAGCUAGUUGGAUGAUGGGAAAUAUGUGCUUCAGUCUCUGCAAGGCCCCAGUAAACAGCCAACACUGCCAGAGGCACCUAGUAAAGUCCCUGCAGCUGGCCACAGGGACGUCAGUGGAUAAUAGGCAUCAGCAUUACUUGGAGCUUAUUGGGAAUAUGGAAGUUGGGUCCCACCCUAAAGCUAGACGCCCGACUGAGAGUUUCAACUGGAUCCCCAGAUAAAGAACCUGAGCCAUAGCUGGGCAUAGUGGCUCACAUCUGUAAUUGCAGCAUUCUGGGAGGCUGAGGUGCAGCAGAAAGAUUGGAAUAAACACGUGAACACAUCCAGCUCAUCAGCACCACGUGGAUCCUGCAGAAGAUAACUCAGUGACUCGAUCUCAUUCAAACCUGUCUUGCUUCCUUGGCGUUUCUGAAUCAAGACACAGACAGAGAACACCUCUGGCUCAAAAUGCCAAAUAUGGCCCAGAUGGACUGGCCAAGCAGGAGUCAAGAUCAGAUCAUUGCUCCCUAAUUUGCCCCCUGGUGCUCAGCACUUAGUUGGAUACAGCUGCAUUUCUAAACUCCAUUUUUCUCUUGUGCUCACUGGAUAGUAAACACGAAUCACUAUUAAUAAUAAUUCUCCACUGCACGUCCAGAACAAUCCA